ensembl:lncRNA
UAAUUCUUUAACGUUUAGAAGAAAUCUUUGAAUGAGAAUACUUUUUUUUUUUUUUCCAUUCUUUCUUUUUUUCUUUUUUUUAAGUGAUGAAUUUUCCACUGUAACAUUCGAUUUGCCUGCUCUGGAGUGUUUAUUCAGGCUGUUGUGUCUAGUAUAUCAUAGUUUAUUAGCUGAUGUUCAUUAGCCCUGUUUUAUGGAAGUUGUGAGACAUUGCAAGACAAGAAUUGGUGAGAUACAGCGUUCCAUUGGUGAGAUAACAUCUUUCUAUUACCGACAGAUGGGACUAAAGUGCACUGAUUCAGGCUCUCUUAUAAGUUAAAUGACAGUAUUGUGAAAUGCAAGUGGAAUUUAUGGAACAUUAUGGUUGUAGUGCUACAAUGCACAUAAGAGUAUUCCACCCCGAAACACAUUCUAUUUAUAAGUAAUGCAAAACUAUCACUAUGUUGUGAGAUUUAAGUUAUAAAGGAAAAUGUCAAAUGUUUUAAAGUAAUCCGUUAAAGAUACAUUCUGGGAUUUUUGUCCAGUGAUUGUAAACGUAAUGCUGUCCAACCAAAACAGGUUCCUGAAAGUUGUGUGCAGUGUCAUUAAAACCACUCGCAUUCAAUAUUGAAAUAAUGUGCACGUAUAAAGAUAUUGCACAAUGGGACAUAAAAAAACAAACAACAGAAAGUCCCAGAUUGCAUCUUUAAGACACAAAAUUCCUAUAAAACCCGAAAUGCAAUUCUGUCUGGACAGGUUUUGGUUGAUUAGAUCUACGUAUCCCUCAAUGGUUAGAUUGUUAGAAAACAAAUACCAAAGUGAAUACCGGCAGGUGAAGUAGUUAAACAGUUAGAAAGUCAAAUAAGCAAACUGCACUCUCAAUUUAUGGCUGUAAAAACCUACCAUGUUCAACUUGAACAUGGUUAUGAAAUUGCUCUGCUGAAGCACAGAAUGUCAUUCUAGAAAGGAAACAUUGUAUACUUUGAAGAAAUGUAAACUAAUAUAUAAAUUGUCACAAAGAUAUUUACAGAUUUUUAGGCAAGUAUACACAAAUCUCCAGAUACCAGAAUGCUAUUGCUAUUGUUUGAUUGAGAUACAAUUUGCAGUUUAAAUGUGCAGAACAUUUCCAUUUGUCACAUCCAUACACCAGAGUGCAUCAUUAAGGGGCCGUUUACAGACCAAUGUUGAUGGGACCUCUAGUUUGAAUCAUUAUAUAUUGUAUUUCUGAGAAGUCCAAUAUUUAUGUAUUUUAAUACUUGUUUUACACUACACCAAUAUCAGUUGCAGUUCUUCUGUAUCUUUACGCUUUUUUCCAUUUGACAAUUAACUAUUUAAAAUAUUGAAUGAAAAAAACAUACACCUGUUGUUGAUGCUUACUCUGUGGAACACCAAUCACUCAAUGUAAGAAGAUACAUUUUCUAAGAGUAAUCUGUGCUUUUAUUAAAGCCAACAUUUAAAAACACACACUUUUUGUUUUGCUGUACUAUUCAGAUUUUGUCAAUUAAAUAAUU